rnacentral:rRNA from 1 species
GGCCGCAGAAUUUUAACUGUGCAAAGGUAGCAUAAUCACUAGUUUUUUAAUUGAAAGCUUGAAUGAAUGGUUGGACGAGGUAUUAGCUGUUUCAUAUUAAAUUUUAGAAUUUUAUUUUUUGGUAAAAAAGCCUAAAUUUUUUUAAAAGACGAGAAGACCCUAUAGAUCUUUAUAUUUAAGAUAUUAUUAUUUGUUAGGAUUAUUUGGGUUAAUAAUGUUUUGAAUAUUGUGCUGGGGUGGCAGAGAAAUUUAUCUAACUUUUUCUAUUUAUGUACAUUUAUUUUUGAUGUUAGUGAUCCUUUAUUUAAGAUUAGAAAUUUAAGUUACCUUAGGGAUAACAGCGUAAUCCUUUCGGAGAGUUCAUAUCGAUGAGAGGGGUUGCGACCUCGAUGUUGGAUUAA